GGGGAGUGACUUCCUGGUAGCUACAGACCUAUCAAUCUCACCUUGGUGCUGGGAAAGGUUAUGGAACAGAUAAUUUCGGGAGCCAUCUGGGCCAGGUAAAGGUCAACCAGGGGAUGAGGCCCAGUCAGCAUGGGUUUACAAAUGGUAGAUCCUGUCUGACAAACCUGAUUUCAUUCUAUGACAAGGUAACCUGCUUAGUGGAUGAAGGUAAUGCUGUCCAUGUGGUCUACCUGGACUUCAGUAAAGCCUUUGACACUGUCCCCCACAACAUUCUCGUGGAGAAGCUGGCUGCCCAUGGUUUGGAUGGGCGUAUGCUCCGCUGGGUGAAACACUGGCUGGAUGGCCGGGCCCAAAGAGUUGUGGUCAAUGGAGUUAAAUUCAGUUGGUAGCCAGUCACGAAUGGUGUCCCCCAGAGCUCAGUACUGGGGCCAUUCCUAUUUAACAUCUUUAUUAACAAUCUUGAGGAAGGGAUUGAGUGCACCCUCAGUAACUUUGCAGAUGACACCAAGCUGGGAGGGAAUGUUGAUCUGCCAGAGGGGAGAAAGGCACUACAGAGGGACCUUGAUAGACUGGAUCAAUGGGCCAAGGUUAACUGUAUGAGUUUUGAUAGGGCCAAGUGUCGCAUCCUGCAUUUUGGUCACAACAACCCCAGGCAACCCUACAGGCUUGGGGAGGAGUGGCUGGAAAGCUGCCUGAUGGAAAGGGACCUUGGUGUGCUGAUGGGCAGUCAGCUGAAUAUGAGCCAGCAGUGUGCCCAGGUGGCCAAGUAGGCCAAUAGCAUCCUGGCUUGUGUCAGGAAUGGUGUGGUGAGCAGGACUAGAGAAGUAAUCCUGCCCCUGUACUCAGCAUUGGUGAGGCUCCACCUCAAGUACUGUGUUCAGUUUUGGUCACCUCAAUACAGAAAGGACAUUGAGGUGCUGGAGCAGGUCCAGAGAAGGGCAACGAGACUAGUGAAGGGCUUGGAAAAUCAGCCCUAUGAGGAGAGGCUGAGGGAGCUGGGGCUGUUUAGUCUGUGGAAGAGGAUGCUGAGGGGAGACGUUAUUACUCUCUUCCAGUACCUGAAAUGUGUUUACAGUGAGAGCGGGGUAGGUCGCUUCUCACUGGUGACAGGUGGAGGGAAAUGGCCUCAAGUUGUGCCAGGGAGGUUUAGGUUGGAUGUCAGGAUGAACUUCUUUACAGAAAGGGUGGUAAAGCACUGGAAUAGGCUCCCCAUGGAGGUGGUUGAGUCACCAUCCCUGGAUGUGUUUAAGAGCCAUUUUGAUGUGGUGCUCAGAGAUAUGAUUUAGCGGAGGGUUGUUAGAGUUAGGGUACUAUGGUUAGGCCGCGGUUGGACUUGAUGAUCUUUGAGGUCCUUUCCAACCUGAGUAAUUCUAUGAUUCUAUAAUGUGUCAUCUCGUGCUGAUGUAUUAAAGACAGAACAUUCUGAACUGAGCUGAUUUCUGGUCAAAAAUCUUGUUCUGGAGAUCUCAG
ensembl:lncRNA